rnacentral:rRNA from 1 species
CAUAGCGACUAUCGUGGCAUAUCAAUAAGCGGAGGAAAAGAAACUAACAAGGAUUCCCUUAGUAACGGCGAGUGAAGCGGGAAGAGCUCAAAUUUGAAAUCUUCAAGGUUUUACCUUGACGAAUUGUAGUUUAAAGAAGUGUUUUCUGUUGGAGUUUUGGUAAAAGUUCUUUGGAAUAGGACAUCAUAGAGGGUGAGAAUCCCGUAUUUGACCGUUACUUUCCAGCUGUGUGAUACACUUUCAACGAGUCGGAUUGUUUGGGAAUGCAGUCCAAGAUGGGUGGUAAAUUUCAUCUAAAGCUAAAUAUUGGCGAGAGACCGAUAGCGAACAAGUACCGUGAGGGAAAGAUGAAAAGAACUUUGAAAAGAGAGUUAAACAGUACGUGAAAUUGUCAAAAGGGAAGCGUUUGACACCAGUGUUGUUUAGUUGAAAAUCAAUUAAAUAAGUUUUUGAUUCUAAGUAGUAUUGACUUCAUCAGCUUGCUGCUUUCUUCUCAGAAAUUAUUGAAUGCACUUUUCAGUUAACAAGUCAACAUCAAUUUCUUUUGUUGUAAAAGGGUAAGAGGAAGGUGGCUUACGCUUCGGCGUAAGUGUUUAUAGCCUUUUACCUCUGCAAUCGGAGAGAUUGAGGACAGCAGCGUAGACUCCUUCGGGGGUUAGAUACACUUGUGCUAAGCUAUAGCCUUGUAUAGACAACUUGUUGACUAUGCUCAGUCAUGUAGCUUACUCGCUUGUGCUAUUUUACCUACGCUUAGGAUGUUGACGCGCGUGUGUGCGUG